AACGAACGCUGGCGGCAUGCCUAACACAUGCAAGUCAACGAAGUCUUCGGACUUAGUGGCGCACGGGUGCGUAACGCGUGGGAAUCUGCCCUUGGGUACGGAAUAACUCAGAGAAAUUUGUGCUAAUACCGUAUAAUGUCUUCGGACCAAAGAUUUAUCGCCCAAGGAUGAGCCCGCGUAAGAUUAGCUAGUUGGUGGGG
rnacentral:rRNA from 1 species